GUGGGGAAUAUUGGGCAAUGGGCGCAAGCCUGACCCAGCAACGCCGCGUGAAGGAAGAAGGCUUUCGGGUUGUAAACUUCUUUUAAGAGGGAAGAGCAGAAGACGGUACCUCUUGAAUAAGCCACGGCUAACUACGUGCCAGCAGCCGCGGUAAUACGUAGGUGGCAAGCGUUGUCCGGAUUUACUGGGUGUAAAGGGCGUGCAGCCGGGCAUGCAAGUCAGAUGUGAAAUCUCAGGGCUCAACCCUGAAACUGCAUUUGAAACUGUAUGUCUUGAGUGCCGGAGAGGUAAUCGGAAUUCCUUGUGUAGCGGUGAAAUGCGUAGAUAUAAGGAAGAACACCAGUGGCGAAGGCGGAUUACUGGACGGUAACUGACGGUGAGGCGCGAAAGCGUGGGGAGCAAACAGGA
rnacentral:rRNA from 1 species